GACGAACGCUGGCGGCGUGCUUAACACAUGCCAGUCGAACGGUGAAGCGCCUUCCUUUUUGGUGGGUGUGGAUGAGUGGCGAACGGGUGAGUAAUACGUGAGUAACCUGCCCCCUUCUUCUGGAUAACCGCAUGAAAGUGUGGCUAAUACGGGAUAUUCUGGGUCUGUCGCAUGAUGGGUCUGGGAAAGAUAUUGUUUCGGUGGGGGAUGGGCUCGCGGCCUAUCAGCUUGUUGGUGGGGUGAUGGCCUACCAAGGCGGUGACGGGUAGCCGGCCUGAGAGGGUGGACGGUCACACUGGGACUGAGACACGGCCCAGACUCCUACGGGAGGCAGCAGUGGGGAAUAUUGCACAAUGGGCGCAAGCCUGAUGCAGCGACGCCGCGUGAGGGAUGGAGGCCUUCGGGUUGUGAACCUCUUUCGCCAGUGAAGCAGGCCUGCCUCGUUUGUGGGUGGGUUGACGGUAGCUGGAUAAGAAGCGCCGGCUAACUACGUG
rnacentral:rRNA from 1 species